rnacentral:rRNA from 1 species
AGUCUGCAACUCGACUACAUGAAGCUGGAAUCGCUAGUAAUCGCGAAUCAGAAUGUCGCGGUGAAUACGUUCCCGGGUCUUGUACACACCGCCCGUCACACCAUGGGAGUUGGGAAUGCCCGAAGCCGGUGACCUAACCGAAAGGGAGGAGCCGUCGAAGGCAGGCUUGAUAACUGGGGUGAAGUCGUAACAAGGUAAC